CCUACGGGGGGCAGCAGUGAGGAAUAUUGGUCAAUGGACGUGAGUCUGAACCAGCCAAGUAGCGUGAAGGAUGACUGCCCUAUGGGUUGUAAACUUCUUUUAUAUGGGAAUAAAACGUUCCACGUGUGGGAUUUUGUAUGUACCAUAUGAAUAAGGAUCGGCUAACUCCGUUCCAGCAGCCGCGGUAAUACGGAGGAUCCGAGCGUUAUCCGGAUUUAUUGGGUUUAAAGGGAGCGUAGGUGGAUUGUUAAGUCAGUUGUGAAAGUUUGCGGCUCAACCGUAAAAUUGCAGUUGAAACUGGCAGUCUUGAGUACAGUAGAGGUGGGCGGAAUUCGUGGUGUAGCGGUGAAAUGCUUAGAUAUCACGAAGAACUCCGAUUGCGAAGGCAGUUCACUGGACUGCAACUGACACUGAGGCUCGAAAGUGUGGGUAUCAAACAGGAUUAGAUACCCGGGUAGUC
rnacentral:rRNA from 1 species